rnacentral:rRNA from 1 species
GCUCACUGACAAAAAGUGUUAAAUAGCCGCGGUAUUUUGACCGUGCAAAGGUAGCAUAAUCAUUAGUUUUUUAAUUGGAAACUUGUAUGAAUGGUUGGACAAAGAAAAGACUGUCUCUUUUAUUAAAAUUGAAAUUAACUUCUAAGUGAAAAGGCUUAGAUUUUCUAGAGGGACGAUAAGACCCUAUAAAGCUUCAUAAGUUAAAUAAAUUAGAUGGAUUUUUAGAAUAAAAGUAAAUUUAGUAAGCUUAUUUAGUUGGGGCGACAAGGGUAUAAAAUUAAAUAACUGCUAUUAAGGUUAGACAAUUAUAUUUGGUUGGAUUGUAAUUGAUCCUCGCUAUGGAUUAAAAGAUUAAGUUACUUUAGGGAUAACAGCGUAAUUUCUUUUAAGAGUUCUUAUCAAAGGAGAAGUUUGCGACCUCGAUGUUGAAUUAAAAUGUCUUUAUAGUGCAGAAGCUAUAAAAGAAGGUCUGUUCGACCUUUAAUUUUUUACAUGAUUUGAGU